AGAUAAACAUGGUAUUUACAUGGAAAAAUCCUGCAACAUUGACAUGCAUAAGUAGAAUGUUUAUUUAUAUAUAGAAGAAGGAUAUAUGUUCUACCAAGAUAAACAAGACGCUCACGAGUGUUUACACACCUUUGCUCAACCAAGACUGGAUUGCCACAUAAAACAAAAAUCACAAGCACAUUAGAUAAUAAAAAUGGCAUGCUUUUGCCAAAACACAUCGCAGUUUUCCAAUCUUGAUGCUGCUAUCUGAAAA
rnacentral:misc_RNA from 1 species